rnacentral:rRNA from 1 species
CAAGGAUUCCCUAGUAACUGCGAGUGAAGCGGGAAAAGCUCAAAUUUUGAAUCUGGCAGUCUUAAUUGGCUGUCCGAAUUGUAAUCUAGAGAAGCGUCUUCCGCGCUGGACCGUGUACAAGUCUCCUGGAAGGGAGCGUCAUAGAGGGUGAUAAUCCCGUCUUUGACACGGACUACCAGUGCUUAUGUGAUGCGCUCUCAACGAGUCGAGUUGUUUGGGAAUGCAGCUCAAAAUGGGUGGUAAAUUCCAUCUAAAGCUAAAUACAGGCGAGAGACCGAUAGCGAACAAGUACCGUGAGGGAAAGACGAAAAGAACUUUGAAAAGAGAGUUAAACAGUACGUGAAAUUGCUGAAAGGGAAACGUUUGAUGGCCAGUCGCGUUGAUUAGGGAUCAGUCUUGCUUAAUUGCAAGCCGUAUUUUCUAGUUGAUGGGUCAACAUCAGUUUUGAUUGCUGUACAAGGAUGAAGGGAAAGUAGCACUCUUUAGGGAGUGUGUUAUAGACUUUUGUCGCAUGCAGUGAUUGGGACCGAGGAUUUCUGCACGGAUUAAUUUCUUUUGUGCAAGGAGCUUGGCAUAAUGGCAUAAACGACCGUCUUGAA